GACAGAGGGUGCAAACGUUGUUCGGAAUUACUGGGCGUAAAGGGCGCGUAGGCGGCUUUUCAAGUCGGGCGUGAAAAUCUCCAGGCUUAACCUGGAAGGGUCGUUCGAAUGACUGUUAAGCUAGAGUGUGGAAGAGGCUACUGGUAAUUCCGUGUGUAGCGGUGAAAUGCGUAGAUAUCAGGAGGAACACCGAUGGCGAAGGCAGGUCUCUGGGCAUUAACUGACGCUGAGGAGCGAAAGCAUGGGGAGCGAACAGG
rnacentral:rRNA from 1 species